GAUGAACGCUAGCGGCAGGCUUAACACAUGCAAGUCGAGGGGUAUGCCGAUUUAUCGGCAGAGACCGGCGCACGGGUGCGUAACGCGUAUGCAAUCUACCUUUUACAGAGGGAUAGCCCAGAGAAAUUUGGAUUAAUACCUCAUAGUAUAGUGACUCGGCAUCGAGAUACUAUUAAAGUCACAACGGUAAAAGAUGAGCAUGCGUCCCAUUAGCUAGUUGGUAAGGUAACGGCUUACCAAGGCUACGAUGGGUAGGGGUCCUGAGAGGGAGAUCCCCCACACUGGUACUGAGACACGGACCGGACUCCUACGGGAGGCAGCAGUGAGGAAUAUUGGACAAUGGGCGCAAGCCUGAUCCAGCCAUGCCGCGUGCAGGAUGACGGUCCUAUGGAUUGUAAACUGCUUUUGUACGAGAAGAAACACCCCUUCGUGAAGGGACUUGACGGUAUCGUAAGAAUAAGGAUCGGCUAACUCCGUGCCAGCCGCCGCGGUAACAC
rnacentral:rRNA from 1 species